GCAAGCGUUGUCCGGAUUUAUUGGGCGUACAGAGCGUGUAGGCGGCUAUACAGAUCCGCUGUGAAAACUCGAGGCUCAACCUCGAGACGUCGGUGGAAACCGUAUGGCUAGAGUCCGGAAGAGGAGAGUGGAAUUCCUGGUGUAGCGGUGAAAUGCGCAGAUAUCAGGAAGAACACCCGUGGCGAAGGCGGCUCUCUGGGACGGUACUGACGCUGAGACGCGAAAGCGUGGGGAGCGAACAGG
rnacentral:rRNA from 1 species